rnacentral:rRNA from 1 species
GAUGAACGCUAGCGGCAGGCUUAACACAUGCAAGUCGAGGGGCAGCGGGGAGGAAGCUUGCUUUCUCCGCCGGCGACCGGCGCACGGGUGAGUAACACGUAUGCAACCUGCCCCUGUCAGGGGGACAACCCGCCGAAAGGCGGGCUAAACCCGCGUACAUGCCACCGGGGCAUCCCGGAGGCAGGAAAGGCUUCGGCCGGUAAAGGAUGGGGAUGCGUCUGAUUAGCUUGCCGGCGGGGUAACGGCCCACCGGGGCGACGAUCAGUAGGGGUUCUGAGAGGAAGGUCCCCCACAUUGGAACUGAGACACGGUCCAA